rnacentral:rRNA from 1 species
UACGAGAGGCCCAAACGUUAUUCGGAAUUACUGGGCUUAAAGAGUUCGUAGGCGGCGCGGAAAGUGGGGUGUGAAAGCCCUCGGCUCAACCGAGGAAUUGCGCUCCAAACUGCCGUGCUUGAGGGACCUAGAGGUGAGCGGAACUGAUGGUGGAGCGGUGAAAUGCGUUGAUAUCAUCAGGAACACCGGAGGCGAAAGGCGGCUCACUGGGGGUCU